AACUUUCAACAACGGAUCUCUUGGUUCUGGCAUCGAUGAAGAACGCAGCGAAAUGCGAUAAGUAAUGUGAAUUGCAGAAUUCAGUGAAUCAUCGAAUCUUUGAACGCACAUUGCGCCUAUUAGUAUUCUAGUAGGCAUGCCUGUUCGAGCGUCAU
rnacentral:rRNA from 1 species